UAUAAUAAAAGUGAACAAAGGGAGUAGAUAAUUCUACCAGUGAUGAUACGGAACCACACACACAAACUACACCAAAUAACCAUGGAUGAUACAGGGAACUAAACCAUUAUAAGGCAAAACUACUCGGCACAAAUCAGGGACUUCACUGUGACAGCUCACACCGUGAUUCGAGUUCAAGCUACUCCAAGGCACCUUCCGAAAGCUUGGCACGGCAGAGGUACUGAGAUGCAUCCACCAGACAAAAGCUUGGCACGGCAGAGGUACUGAGAUGCAUCCACCUGCCGAAGUCGACAAACCAUCUCAUUGUCAAGCCUACCAGUCCAACAUGGGAAUAAAGCACACAACCACGUACAUGUCAUGGUUUCAGGUCCUCACUUUCGAGCGUAAUAGUUUCAAAUCACCAGGGAAGGUCGAUGCUAGUUAGUACUUAGUAGUAGUAGAUAUG
rnacentral:lncRNA from 1 species